UCUCCCUUAAACUUCUUCCACACUCAGUACGUGGGAACAGCAGAGCACUUAUCCCCAUGGGCUUUGGAAGCUGCAGGAAAUCUGUGGGGCGGAUAAGGAUUCAACCCGGGGAAGGUGACCCGACCUGCUGCUGAACCAACACAAGCUUUUGAUUGCAAAAACUGAGUCCUGGCUCCUGGCUUCAGAUUGGCUCAGCCCUGACUGUUGCGGCCGCUUGGGGAGUGAAUCAGCGGACAGAAGAUCUUUCUCUCUGUCUCUCCUCCUCUUUAUAUAUCUGACUUUGGAAGAAAAAUAAAUAAAUCUUAAGAAGAAGCAGAAGAAGUGUGCUCCCGUGUUGGAUCUCAGUACUGUUUCUCCUGCAGCCCAGGGCUGCUGGGUUUCCUGCUUCUGCAAAGGGCCAGUUGCCGGCUGCAGUGGUUUGCGUUCAUGUUUAUGUGCUUCGCACAGUACUGAUGAGAAUUGCUUGCUGAAAGGUGCUGGAGGCUGGACAUUAGGCUGGAAGCCCUGGGCAUCUUAAAUCGGCACACUGCUUCACCUUCCCCAGCACUUCAUCAUCGUUCCACAUUGCCACUGCAGAGCCACAGCAGCAUCAUAGGGUUCCUCGCAUGGCCAGGACUCCAGAGGUGUCGAACUGCAGAGUUACUCAU